rnacentral:rRNA from 1 species
GUAGGGUGCGGGCGUUAAUCGGAAUUACUGGGCGUAAAGCGUGCGCAGGCGGCUCCCCAAGUCAGAUGUGAAAUCCCCGGGCUUAACCUGGGAACUGCGUUUGAAACUAGGGAGCUUGAGUGUGGAAGAGGGGGGUGGAAUUCCAGGUGUAGCAGUGAAAUGCGUAGAGAUCUGGAGGAACACCGAUGGCGAAGGCAGCCCCCUGGGCUAACACUGACGCUCAUGCACGAAAGCGUGGGGAGCAAACAGGAUUAGAUACCCUGGUAGUCCACGCCCUAAACGAUGUCAACUGGUUGUCGGGGAAGCAAUUCCUUGGUAACGAAGCUAACGCGUGAAGUUGACCGCCUGGGGAGUACGGCCGCAAGGUUA